GACGAACGCUGGCGGCGUGCUUAACACAUGCAAGUCGAACGGAAAGGCCCUGCUUUUGUGGGGUGCUCGAGUGGCGAACGGGUGAGUAACAAGUGAGUAACCUGCCCUUGACUUUGGGAUAACUUCAGGAAACUGGGGCUAAUACCGGAUAGGAGCUCCUGCUGCAUGGUGGGGGUUGGAAAGUUUCGGCGGUUGGGGAUGGACUCGCGGCUUAUCAGCUUGUUGGUGGGGUAGUGGCUUACCAAGGCUUUGACGGGUAGCCGGCCUGAGAGGGUGACCGGCCACAUUGGGACUGGGAUACGGCCCAGACUCCUACGGGAGGCAGCAGUGGGGAAUAUUGCACAAUGGGCGGAGGCCUAAUGCAGCAACGCCGCGUGCGGGAUGACGGCCUUCGGGUUGUAAACCGCUUUCGCCUGUGACGAGGCGGGAGUGACGGUAAUGGGUGAAGAAGCACCGGCUAACUACGUG
rnacentral:rRNA from 1 species